CUGGGGAGAGGAAAGAGGGGCUUCUGGGGCCCGCCAGCAGCAGGGACCUGAGUCCUGCUUUCUAGAAGCACCGGAGGAUGUAUCGGGCAGUUGGUGGAAAUAGUCAUGAUACCUCAGGGCGAUGGGGUCCUGCAGCCAGGCCCCAGAUUUCUGGCUCCCUGAACUGCGACAAGGAGUUCCUGCCAAUCCUGACAACUUCACUCCUGGUUCAUUGAACUUUGAGCUUCCUGCAUAGCUGUGUACUCUGCUGGAAGUUUGUCCCAGUAUACCCCCAGCCGGGCCAGCCUCUGGCCCCUAAAGGUGAGGAAACCGAGGCUAAGAGAAGUGAAACCCAAGGUCAUAUGGUUUGCACUAAGGUCUGAUUCCAGAACUGGCGCUCUUAACCAUGAAGCUCAGCUGCUUCUCACUUUAAGCACUAUUCCUGAUUAUGGACAAUAUGGCUUCCAGGAGUUUACUUUCCAGGAUUAAUUAGUUUCCACUGCACUUGUGUUUGAGCUGGUAAAGUAACUCUGCUGUAUCAGUGUUUGCUAGGGAGGCGCUUAUUUUCCAAACUCUGGUUUUAAACAAUCAGAUAAUAUAAAAUGCAGGUUUCAUGGGGACAAAUUCAAACAUGGGUCCAGAC